rnacentral:rRNA from 1 species
UACGUAGGGGGCAAGCGUUGUCCGGAUUUAUUGGGCGUAAAGAGCUCGUAGGCGGUGUGUCGCGUCGGCCGUGAAAACCUGCAGCUUAACUGUGGGCUUGCGGUCGAUACGGGCAUCACUGGAGUUCGGCAGGGGAGACUGGAAUUCCUGGUGUAGCGGUGAAAUGCGCAGAUAUCAGGAGGAACACCGGUGGCGAAGGCGGGUCUCUGGGCCGAUACUGACGCUGAGGAGCGAAAGCGUGGGGAGCGAACAGG